UACGUAGGAUGCGAGCGUUGUCCGGAAUUAUUGGGCGUAAAGAGAACGUAGGCGGUUUGUUAAGUUUGGGCUUAAAGACUGGGGCUCAACCCCAGGAGUGGCUCGAAAACUGACAGACUAGAGGAUGGCAGAGGAAAGUGGAAUUCCCGGUGUAGCGGUGAAAUGCGCAGAUAUCGGGAGGAACACCGGUGGCGAAGGCGGUUCUCUGGGCCUGUACUGACGCUGAGGAGCGAAAGCGUGGGGAGCGAACAGG
rnacentral:rRNA from 1 species